UACGAGUGCCCCAAGCGUUAUCCGGAAUCAUUGGGCGUAAAGGGUGCGUAGGCGGUUGUGUUAGUCUCCUGUGAAAGCUCCCGGCUUAACCGGGAAUGGGCGGGAGAAACGGCACAACUUAGAGCAGGUGAGAGGUCAGUAGAACUCAUGGUGUAGGGGUGAAAUCCGUUGAUAUCAUGGGGAAUACCAAAAGCGAAGGCAGCUGACUGGCGCCGAGCUGACGCUGAGGCACGAAAGCGUGGGUAGCGAA
rnacentral:rRNA from 1 species